CGACGAGCGGCUGGCUAGAGCUCCCGGUUGUGAUCCGGGAGGUCGUGGGUUCGAAGCCCGUCUCGCAG
rnacentral:tRNA from 1 species